GUAAGAAUCCAUUCAGGGAAAACUGCUCCAGUGCCUUGGCCCAGCUGAUCUGCUUCAACAAGUGUGUAACCAUCUAGGCAUAAGAUUCUGGAGACUACUGGAGAAAUGACCACCUUCUCUCUUCUGUCCGUUUGAAUGAUACACAGGAGGGCCAAUAGAACUGUAGAUGGUUGAGAAGCCACCACAGGAAAAGGAGAAAAGCCAUGUCACAAACGGAAUAGCCCAAGGACCCUGGAGGUGAAGGUCCAAUUUAGCAAAGAUGGCUGGAUCCAGAGAAGAUGUGAGGACAGAGGAGGAGAAACAAAAGAGGUUCUUGGGGUCAAGAAUAAUGGUACUGACCAGGCUGCUUUCCUGCCUCUUCCAAACUGGAAUUCCCAUCUCGAUCUGGAACAGCUGCUGGGAGGAACAUGCUGCUGGGCAUCACCAUCUCGGGAGUGGUCACCUGAGGAGCAAGAGCAAAGAGAGUCAAAUGGAGAGGAAAGAUACACAAAAUAGGAAAUGUUUAAAAAUUAUUUAAUAAGCAAAAUUACCCUUCACCAGUAUAAAGCUAGAGGUGUCACUUUUCACAGCUCACUGAAGAUUCAUGUUUAUUAGACAAAGCUCACAUCAGUCAAAAGUGUUUCUACGGUUACAUUCUGGACAUAAUUAGCAGUGCACACUUGAAGAAUAAUCUUCUUAUUAAUAUUUUUCCUUUAUGCAGAAUUUUGACUUUGAUCACUGACAAUGUUUUGUCAUGGGCUGUGAAACUUCUUGUGCAACCAAUUAGGUAGAUAAGUUGAAAGGCCCACCUUAAGCUGCUGAAAACAUAAUAAGGGCCCUAAUUAAAUCAUACCUAGUAAAGUACACUGUAAUCUUGAAACAGGGAGCAUUGUAGUACUGUUUUCAAAAUGUAUUCAGGCAAGAAGAGGAGGGGAGUAAGAGUGAAGGAAAGGGUAAGAAGAAAAGAAGAGAACAAAGGGAAGGCUAAGGACACGCAGACAUGCUGGCAGAUUUUCCAGGAAACAACAUUUGUAACCCUUUACAAGCUGAUAUCAAGCACAAACAAGCCUUUUUUUGUGUGUGACUCACUUAAGCCCACGAUUUCUUCUGGACUAUCUGCCCAAGAUACACAACAUCAGAAGGAACCUCUGGCCAAUGUCCCAGCCAUAGAGGGUGGCCUGCACAGCAUUCUAUAACAGGGCAGUCCCACCUUGACCAUGGCCAUUGUUUCUAAACAUAGCAAUUCUGGAAAUUGCCUGGAUGCAAAUAGCUGCAAUUUUAUGGCAGAUCCUCAGAUACUUCUCUGGGCCUCCCAGUCAUACAGCCAGAAGCCUGUCCAGAUAAGUUAUCAUUUGCCCUAUGUUAAUGUGAUAAACAGUCCUCGACACCAAUGGAAGGAUCAAAGGUUCUUCAUUCAAACAGAAGCAAUAUCCCUUUGCCUGAUAUGGGGUGGGAAGGGUAGGUGGCGAUGAUAUUUGAAAUGAAUCAGAAAACCGCCUCCCAUUUGAUGACAGCCGGAGAAAUGGACUGACCUAGAAGAUACAGGACCAGAAACUACAAUCACCACUAACCUUUCUACAUGGCUCCCAGCCCCACUUGGAGACAUUAUUUUUCCAUCAAACAAAACCAUACUGCACAGCCAUCUUCACUAUCUGUUGCAAAGACUGGAAUACUUAGAUUUCUCUUCAAAAUUAAUGUUUUAAAUACAUUACUAUUAAUUUUUAAUGGUGUGAAAAUCCUAGCCUUGCCCAAAAUAGCUACUGACAUGUCCACUAGAAUAUCAGUGAUAGGCUUGACGACUAGAGGAAACCCAGACAGCCAUCCUCAUCAACAUAAGAUAACUCCCCAUCACAUUUAGGGGUAUUAAAAUAAUUUUAGCAACCCAGAUGCCAAUGGGUGCAAAAAGUAAGCCACAGGCACUAUGGAGAACCACUCUGAGAAACACUGUGUUUACGAAGAGCAGGUGUGUGGCAGGUGAAUGUGAAUGACAUCGCAUUCUUGCCCCCACAGACACCUGCA